UGGGGAAUAUUGCGCAAUGGGGGGAACCCUGACGCAGCCAUGCCGCGUGAAUGAAGAAGGCCUUAGGGUUGUAAAGUUCUUUCGGUAUUGAGGAAGGUUGAUGUGUUAAUAGCACAUCAAAUUGACGUUAAAUACAGAAGAAGCACCGGCUAACUCCGUGCCAGCAGCCGCGGUAAUACGGAGGGUGCGAGCGUUAAUCGGAAUAACUGGGCGUAAAGGGCACGCAGGCGGUUAUUUAAGUGAGGUGUGAAAGCCCCGGGCUUAACCUGGGAAUUGCAUUUCAGACUGGGUAACUAGAGUACUUUAGGGAGGGGUAGAAUUCCACGUGUAGCGGUGAAAUGCGUAGAGAUGUGGAGGAAUACCGAAGGCGAAGGCAGCCCCUUGGGAAUGUACUGACGCUCAUGUGCGAAAGCGUGGGGAGCAAACAGGAUUAGAUACCCUGGUAGUCCACGCUGUAAACGCUGUCGAUUUGGAGGUUGGGGUUUAACUCUGGCGCCCGUAGCUAACGUGAUAAAUCGACCGCCCCGGGGGAGUACGGCCGCAAGGUUA
rnacentral:rRNA from 1 species